AGUGAACGCUGGCGGUAGGCCUAACACAUGCAAGUCGAACGGCAGCACAGUAAGAGCUUGCUCUUACGGGUGGCGAGUGGCGGACGGGUGAGGAAUACAUCGGAAUCUACUUUUUCGUGGGGGAUAACGUAGGGAAACUUACUCUCAUACCGCAUACGCCCUACGGGUGAAAGCAGGGGAUCUUCGGACCUUGCGCGAUUGAAUGAGCCGAUGUCGGAUUAGCUAGUUGGCGGGGUAAAGGCCCACCAAGGCGACGAUCCGUAGCUGGUCUGAGAGGAUGAUCAGCCACACUGGAACUGAGACACGGUCCAGACUCCUACGGGAGGCAGCAGUGGGGAAUAUUGGACAAUGGGCGCAAGCCUGAUCCAGCCAUACCGCGUGGGUGAAGAAGGCCUUCGGGUUGUAAAGCCCUUUUGUUGGGAAAGAAAAGCAGCAGGUUAAUACCCCGCUGUUCUGACGGUACCCAAAGAAUAAGCACCGGCUAACUUCGUG
rnacentral:rRNA from 1 species